UUUGAUCAUCCAAUGGGUGGCUUAACGAUCCCUUGUCCUGAAGAUACUUUCAUCAAUGUUACUUCUCGGCUUCAUUGAUGAUUAUCCAUCAUAUUGUUCAUCUAAUUAGAGAUAGACUUGUACCUUGUAAAUAGAGGAUUUUUUCUCUUCUUCUUGAAAGAGUUGUUCUAUAAUUUUUGGAAAGUGAAUGACAUAGACACAAUUCGCUCAAUAAUCUUUAAUGUCUUGUGCUCUUAUUUGAUCAUCACUUUAUUCGGUGUGUCUCUGCAUUCAACAUAAAUCAUUUUUGAAAAUAUGGAAAAAAAACACUAAUCAGAUUAUCAUUACAAAGCAUGGAGAACAAAACCAUGUUGCUUCUGAAACACAAAAACUGAGUGAAACUCUUUGUUGAGAAAAAAAAAACUAUGUGAAACUCUUUUCUUUGAAUAUCACAAGUUUCAACUUUGUAAGAACGUUCUUUUAGCUCCAAAAUAAUGAUCUAGUCAUCAAACAGAGUUAAUCUUCUACAGAGAGUUUGUUGCAGAGAAUAUGAAAUUCAGUGUAAAUUCGGUAUUUAAUCAUACAAAACAUUAAGGAAAAUUUUCAAUAUAAUCAACAAAUUUUGUUUGUCAAUCGGGUUAGAUGUGUAAUGCGUUCACUGAAUGAUUACUCUGUCUUUCUUCUAGCACUUUUCAUGUGCUCCAGUGAAACCUGAACACUGAGCGGAUGGAGCCAUACCGAAGCUGUAAACAUCUGUCUUAAACAUCUAGCAAUUUGAUUGUGCAGUGAGAUCACUGAGAUGGUAAUCUUCAGAUUAAAAGCUAACUUGUAAUAAGAUAAGAAUAUUACUGAAGAUAUAACAUACUACCCAUAUGGCCAUAUAUUGGUUUGUGUCUGAAAACAGAUAUGGAUACAUAGACAAUUGUGUAAGCAAGAAUGAUGAAAUUUUUAUCAUUGAAUAACCAUUGCUUUACAGAGAAAUAUGGAAUACACAUUUGAGCUUUGUAAUCUCUUGAAUAACUUUCUUUCACAAAGAAAGAAGAAAAAGUUAACAUAUUUUUUUAAAAAAAAUGGUAAAACAGUUAACAUAUUUACAUUGAAUAAUUCUAACUCGGGCAAACUAAUGUCAGAUCUUUAUUCUUCUAGAACAUUACUGAAACCGGAAAGUCACACUGGUGAAGGUAUCUUCAGGACAAGGGAUUGUCAAGCCACCCUUUGGAUGAUCAAAUCCAAAUACUUCCUCGGAUUUAUUGAGAAGAGCUUGAAAAGAAGGCUGGUUUAGAUAUGAGACUGGCACCAAAAAUCUCUUCUUCUGGACCUGGUCUUCCCCAACGUACACCACAAGAAACCCCUUUGGAGCUGAAACUGUCUUUUUGCUUGUAGCCGCUACAGAUACGCCAAUAAUCCUCUUGGCCACCCAAGAGACCUCUGAACAAAGCCAUUUCUUGUGUCUUGAAAUUUGAAGCUUCUGAAAGAAGUGUUAGAUGCUCAGAUUAAAGGUUUGGAUUUCUUGGUGAAUUGAAGACUUGGUUCUGUCUCUGGAUGUAUAAAUAGAUUGAUAAAAGGACUAACAGCCACCCUGGAACCAUUGAAAGUAUGGGACAUGCACAAGUAGAGUACACAUGGUUUUGUCUUCUAGAUAUGAUAGAUUGACAAGAAACUUAACCUAACGAGCACUAUCUUUUUGUUUUCUCAUGUCUGUAUAAUAAAUAAAGAGAAGAAGUGACCUACUCAGUUUUUAAUGUAUAAGUGUCCUGUGUGAACCUCGUUGUGUGUAGAUAUAAUCAAAAGAACAACUUAACAUGUGAAGGAGACUUGAUGUUCUGUUGUUUAGAAACUUCGGGUCCCUACUUUGAGGUCUUAUUGAUAAAAUCCAUUUAGACAACAGAGAUGAGGGAAUAUGAUCACCACAGAACAUGAAGAACAGAAACUUGCUAGUCUUUAUUAUUGACAAUAGCAUAUGUCUUAUCUAGACAAACAUUGAGAAAACAAGCCAUUGUGAAUUGCAUUUUCGUUCUUAGUUUAUUGUCCCACACUCAAUUAAUAAUCUCAUCAAAGAAAAUUGCAUUAAACUAAAACAGAGCCAUGUGAAACUUUGCUGUAGUCUGUCCUACACUUUAAGACCACAAGUUUCAAGGACUUUUCAGAGAGGUUUCAGUUCAUUCAUUAAUCUUUCUAUAUAUAUAAACACCACAUUACCCAUUCUUUCUAUCAUCAACAAGCAAUAUUUCAAAACUUGAAUCUUUUCAUAACAUCUUUAGAAGCUUCAUAAGGAUUCAAACUUUCAGAAGAAGAAAAAAAAAACUAGAAAUGGCUUUCGUGAGAAGUUUAUUAGGUGCAAAGAAGAUUCUUUGCCGCUCCGUAACAGCAGCUGCCCCAACAAGCAACAGGGCCGCCUCUGCGGCACCAAAAGGGUUUCUUGCGGUGUACGUAGGAGAGAUGCAAAAGAAGAGAUAUGUGGUGCCAAUCUCAUACUUGAGCCAGCCUUCGUUUCAAGCUCUUCUAAGAAAAUCCGAAGAAGAGUUUGGUUUCGAUCAUCCAAUGGGUGGCAUAACCAUCCCUUGUCCUGAAGAUACUUUCGUAGCUGUGACGUCUAGGCUUCAGUGAUAAUUAUCCAACAUAUUUUUCUUCAAGUUAGUUGUAAAUAGAGGAUGUUUUAUUUUUCUCUUUCUUCUUGAAAGAGUUGUUCUAAAGUUUUGAAAGUAAAUACCAUUGAAAAAAGAAAUAACAACACCAACUUAACAACUAUUUAAAUCAUACUUUAGUUGCUGUUAAAAUUAAACUACAUUAUCCGUGGCUCGAUUUAACCUAAUUAUCAUCCAUUGAAGUCUUUCAACUAACAAAGAAGACUAUGCAGUGCAAAGAUAUGGAAUUAAACGGAUCACAUUAAUAUUCGUCCCUUCUUUUUAGCAACCAAACAAAAUUUUGUUCAUUUAGGUUGUUAGCUAUCAGUGUAAGAGUUUGUUAAUUAAAUAAGUAUCAUGUUUAACAGUAAAGUUCAAUCUGCUAGAAAGUCGCAGUACAUGAAUCUUUGCCUUAGCUCUUACAUCUUAUUUAUAACCCACAAUCUGCAUAGAAAAUGUCAUUCUUGUUCUGUUUCUUGGGAUUUCCUCUGUUUCUCUUCCUAUAGACUAUCUACUGGUUAUACUAUAUAUCAGUCUUACAACUCACGUAACAGUGAGGGAACCAAAAUCACUGAUCAUCUGAUCAAAUUUAUCUUCCCUACUCUGUUUUUCCUUAAUCUAUCAAAUCUCAAAGACAUAAAUAUUUAUUGUUCUCCUGAAAUGAUGAAUUAAGAGACACUUGUGUAUUUUUUGCUUAGGAACUACUUAAGCAAUGAAGAGCUGUUAAUCAAUCAAACAUCCAUUUCUUGAUUAAUAUCUCAAAUAGAAAAUCAUGUGAAAUGCUGUUAGUGUAGACAACAAGUUUCAACUCUAUUUCAUUGAUUCCUUUGUAUAUCGAGAAACAAAACAAACUCUUCAUAUCAUUAACACUCGAACAAUCCAAAAAAAAUUCAAGAUGAAUAUAUAUAUUUAAUGCUUUGACAACAAAAAUUGACAAUUCACAUUGAGCUUUGUAGUCUCUUGAACAACUCUUUUCUCACAUAGAACCAAUGAAAAAGGUUGAUAUAUUUACAUUGAAUCAUUAAAUCUCUAACUCGGGCUACAUAACGUUAGAUCUCUCUUCUCUUGGGAUCACUUUCCCUUUAGCCGAGAAGUUACAGUGAUGAAGGCAUCUUCAGGACAAGGAAUCGUUAAGCCACCCGUCGGAUGAUCGAACCCAUACUCUUCUUCAGAUUUACUGAGCAGAUCUUGAAACGAAGGCUGGUUCAAAUACGAGACAGGAACUACAUAUCUCUUCUUCUGGACCUGAUCCUCACCAACGUACACCGCAAGAAACCCUUUUGGUGUAGUAGCCGUUACAGAGCGGCUCAGGAUCUUCUUUGCACCCAAUAGACUUCUCACCAAAGCCAUUUCUAUAUUUUUUUUCUUGUCUGAAAGUAUGAAUUCUUUUGAAGCUUUUGAAGAGAUGUAUCAAAAGAUUUAAGUUAAUGGAUUGCUGAUUGUUGGUUGAUGAUUGAAAGAGUGGGAUAUGUGUAUCAUAUAUAGAGAAGUGAAUGAGCUGAGGAGUCUCCGAAAAAUCUUUGAAACUCGUGGUCUUGAAGCGUUGGACAGACAAGAGCAGAGUUGCACAUGGUUCUGUCUUUAGCAUUUUGAAACUUCUAGGUUAAUGCAAUUUGUCUUGAUUGAUUGAUGAUGCCUUUGUCGUCCUGUCUUAUCUCCCAACAAAAUUUGGCUCCGACAGUGACUUCACCCCGAACCAAACACUGACCCUUCUGAUUAAAACCUAUCAUAAUCUUCUUUGAGUAACAACUGUCAAGUGUGAUCCUAGUUGUGGAUAUAAUCAAAGAACAACUUAAGUUGUGAUAGAGACUUGAUGUUCUGUUGUUGAGAGACUCCAGGUCCCUACUUUGAGGUCUUAUUAAUUAAAUCCAUUUAGACCACAGAGCUGUGAGAAUAUAUGAUCACCACAGCAACUUGCUGGCCUUUAUUAUUGACAAUGGCAUACGUCAUAUGAAAAAACAUUGAGAAAACAAACCCUUGUGCAUUGCAAAUGGAGUAUGUUUUUAAUGUAUUGUCCUACACUCAAUUAAUUAUAUCAUCAACCAAGACAAAUUGCAUUAAACUCAACCUUUCCAAAUGCUAAAGACAGAACCAUGUGCAACUCUGUUCUCUUCUUCUGUCCAACGCCUCAAGACCACAAGUUUCAAAGAUUUUUCAGAGAGUCUUCAACUCAUUCACUGAUCUAUAUAUAAUACACAUAUCCCACUCUUUUCAUCAUCAACCAGCAAGCAGCAAUCCAAUAACUUGAAUCUUUUCAUACAUCUCUUCCAAAGAGUUUAAAAUUUCAGACAAAUGGCUUUGGUUAGAAGUUUAUUGGGUGCAAAAAAGAUUCUUGGUCGUUCCGUAACAGCAACAGCUUCUACAAGCAAAAGAGCAACCAUGGCGGCACCACCAAAAGGGUUUCUUGCGGUGUACGUUGGAGAGAGCCAGAAGAAGAGAUAUGUGGUGCCAAUCUCAUACUUGAGCCAGCCCUUAUUUCAAGCUCUCCUCAGCAGAUCUGAAGAAGAGUUUGGGUUUGAUCAUCCAAUGGGUGGCUUAACUAUCCCUUGUCCUGAAGAUACUUUCAUCAAUGUUACUUCUCGGCUUCAUUGAUGAUUAUCCAUCAUAUUGUUCAUCUAAUUAGAGAUAGACUUGUACCUUGUUAAUAGAUGAUUUUUUUCUCUUCUUCUUGAAAGAGUUGUUCUAUAAUUUUUUGAAAGUGAAUGACAUAGACACAAUUCGCU
rnacentral:lncRNA from 1 species